rnacentral:rRNA from 1 species
GGGAGCAUGCCUGUUUGAGGGCCGCGAAUUGUUUCGAACGGCAGCUUUUUUCACAAAGAGCUGACGGAUCGGUAGUGAGGGUCUUGCCAUUCAUCGUGGCUCCCUCGAAAUACAUUAGCGCAUCCAUUUGAUAGGCAAGACGGACGAAGGCUCACUCUUUCGUCCUUUUCUUCCCUGCCGGGUUUUGAUAAUAUCAGGACUUCGGAGCGGUCGAAGAGGGCACGAGCUGGACGCAACGACUUGCUGGUUGGAUUGCUUCUGAACCCCGCCCUUUUUGUAGAAAUUGGGAUUUAUAAUUCAUCGGCCUCAGAUUGGUAGGACUACCCGCUGAACUUAAGCAUAUCAAUAAGCGGAGGAAAAGAAACUAACAAGGAUUCCCCUAGUAACGGCGAGUGAAGAGGGAAGAGCCCAAGAUUGAAAGCUGGCGCCUUCGGCGUCCGCAUUGUAAUCUCAAGAAGUGUUUUCCGCUUCGGACCAUGCCUAAGUCCCUUGGAAAAGGGCAUCAUAGAGGGUGAUAAUCCCGUACAUGGCAUGGAGCGCCCGAAGCUUUGUGAUACGCUUUCUAAGAGUCGAGUUGUUUGGGAAUGCAGCUCAAAAUGGGUGGUAAAUGCCAUCUAAGGCUAAAUAUUGGGGAGAGACCGAUAGCGAACAAGUACAGUGAUGGAAAGAUGAAAAGAACUUUGAAAAGAGAGUUAAACAGUACGUGAAAUUGCCAAAAGGGAAGGGUAGGAGGUCAGAGAUGCGUUCUAGGAUUCAGCCUUGCUUUUGCAUGGUGUUUUUUCUAGUUUGCAGGCCAACGUCGGUUUUGGGCACUGGAGAAGGGUGGAAGGAAUGUGGCACCUCUCGGGGUGUGUUAUAGCCUUCUACUGGAUACAGCGACCGAGACCGAGGACAGCAGCGUACUCGCAAGAGCGGGCCUUCGGGCACCU